AAUGAAUGGGGUUAGCAAUGCGUCGUGCGAGAUUCAGCCGGUGGGUGGGCCAGGCGGGCGGUUGGCGGAUCUGAAUGGACCGCUGCCGUUCGGGUUGGUUUCCCGACCGUCGCACUUCUCGCAGGCGCGCGCCAACGUCGGUUAGGGCUGGGUCUCAAAGGCGGUGGAAAGGUAGGUUUGGACUCUCGGGCCCGAACUGUUACAGUCCUCCGUUUGUCAUGGCCCGGACCUGACCGAGGAGCUUGCGGUGCAUGCCGUUCGGCUAGGGUCCCGUCUUCCCGGUCGGUCGUCGAAUGCGGUGGACUGCGUGCAGUGCGCCGCGACUGCUGCCGGUCGCGAGGGCGGUGAUUUCGUACUAUGCACCCACGACGUUGGCGGUCAUAUGGCCUCAUCCGACCCGUCUUGAAACACGGACCAAGGAGUCUAACAUGUGUGCGAGUCUUUGAGUGAUCGAAACUCCGAGGCGUAAUGAAAGUGAAGGCGACUUCGGUCGCUGAGGUGAGAGCCUUUUUCCACAAAAAAAAGGCGCAUCAUUGACCGACCUAUUCUACUCUUAGAAAGGUUUGAGUAAGAGCGCAUCUGUUGGGACCCGAAAGAUGGUGAACUAUGCCUGAAUAGGGUGAAGCCAGAGGAAACUCUGGUGGAGGCUCGUAGCGAUUCUGACGUGCAAAUCGAUCGUCAAAUUUGGGUAUAGGGGCGAAAGACUAAUCGAACUGUCUAGUAGCUGGUUCCCUCCGAAGUUUCCCUCAGGAUAGCUGGAACUUACGGCAGUUUUAUCAGGUAAAGCGAAUGAUUAGAGGUCUUAGGGUUAAAACAANCUUAACCUAUUCUCAAACUUUAAAUUGGUAAGAAGUCCGACUUGCUUAAUUGAAGCCGGACAGUGAAUGCGAGUUCCUAGUGGGCCAUUUUUGGUAAGCAGAACUGGCGAUGCGGGAUGAACCGAACGCGCGGUUAAGGUGCCAAAGUCGACGCUCAUCAGACCCC
rnacentral:ncRNA from 1 species